rnacentral:rRNA from 1 species
CCUACGGGAGGCAGCAGUAAGGAAUAUUGGUCAAUGGGCGCAAGCCUGAACCAGCCAUGCCGCGUGCAGGAAGACGGCCCUAUGGGUUGUAAACUGCUUUUGAACAAGAGAAAACCUCGGUACGUGUACCGAGCUGAUAGUAUUGUUAGAAUAAGCAUCGGCUAACUUCGUACCAGCAGCCGCGGUAAGACGAAGGAUGCAAGCGUUAUCCGGAUUCAUUGGGUUUAAAGGGUGCGUAGGCGGCCUGAUAAGUCAGUGGUGAAAUCUCUCAGCUUAACUGAGAAACUGCCAUUGAUACUGUCGGGCUUGAGUACAGAUGAUGUGGGCGGAAUAUGACAUGUAGUGGUGAAAUACUUAGAUAUGUCAUAGAACACCGAUUGCGAAGGCAGCUCACAAAACUGUAACUGACGCUGAGCACGAAGUAGCGGGAGUACAACAGAUAGAUACCUACGUAGUCGCACCGUAACGAUANAUACUCGUUGUUGUCAUAUGACCGUC